AUGCUGGUGACUCUCUGUGCAAUCAUCACUUGUCUAACAUGUGUGAGUGGUGUGACGGUGCUGACACAGAAACCUCCCGUUUUAUCAGUGAGGAAAGGAGAGACAGCCACCAUGGACUGUAACCUGGGGACUGUUGAUAACUAUGUCUCUUGGUACAAACAGAUUCCUGGAGGAGUUCCUCAGUAUGUGCUGAAUUUUCAUCAUAGCGAUAGUUCUCCAGACUAUGGCUCUGGGUUCUCUGCUCCAAAAUUCACAUCCACUCAUCAGUCAACAACAGAUUAUAGUUUGAUCAUCAAGAAUGUGGAGGAGGGAGACUCUGCAGUCUAUUACUGUAAGACAUAUGACAACUCUGUUGAUGAGUUCGUAUCACAGUGA